rnacentral:RNase_P_RNA from 2 species
CGAGUCGGCGAGGCGACCGCGGCACCGGUCCACCGGUGUCGAGGAAAGUCCGGACUCCACAGGACAGGGUGGUUGGCAACACCAACCCGGGGCGACCCGCGGGACAGUGCCACAGAAAACAAACCGCCCGCCCGCCCCGGCGCCAGUCGGAGCGGCAGCGGGUAAGGGUGAAACGGUGAGGUAAGAGCUCACCAGCGCCCGGGGUGACCCGGGCGGCUCGGUAAACCCCACCCGGAGCAAGGUCAAGAGGGACGCGGGCGACCGCGUCCUGCGCAGGCGCCCGAGGACGGUCCGUCCGAGCCUGCGGGUAGACCGCAUGAGACGCACGGCGACGUGCGUCCUAGAUGGAUGGUCGCCACUGUGCUUCGGCACGGGACAGAAUCCGGCUUAUGACCGGCUCGCCGC